rnacentral:rRNA from 1 species
GACGAACGCUGGCGGCGUGCUUAACACAUGCAAGUCGAACGAAGUGGCGAACGGGUGAGUAACGCGUAAUCAACCUGCCCUUCAGAGGGGUACAACAGUUGUAAACGACUGCUAAUACCGCAUACUGAAGGAGGGGAUUGGGUCUGAUUAGCUAGUUGGGGGGGUAACGGCUCACCAAGGCGAUGAUCAGUAGCCGGUCUGAGAGGAUGAACGGCCACAUUGGGACUGAGACACGGCCCAGACUCCUACGGGAGGCAGCAGUGGGGAAUAUUGGACAAUGGGCGAAAGCCUGAUCCAGCCAUGCCGCGUGUGUGAAGAAGGUCUUCGGAUUGUAAAGCACUUUAAGUUGGGAGGCGUUACCAACAGAAUAAGCACCGGCUAACUUCGUGCCAGCAGCCGCGGUAAUUC